rnacentral:rRNA from 1 species
GUAAAGCGGCGCACGGGUGAGUAACACGUAGGUCAUCUCCCCUCAAGUGGUGGAUAACCCUCCGAAAGGAGGGCUAAUACAGCAUAAGACCACGAUCUCGUUGAGAUUGUGGCCAAAGUAGGCCUCUCCAUGGAAGCUUACGCUAGAGGAUGAGCCUGCGGCCCAUCAGCUAGUUGGUAGGGUAACGGCCUACCAAGGCUAAGACGGGUAGCUGGUCUGAGAGGAUGAACAGCCACACUGGAACUGAGACACGGUCCAGACUCCUACGGGAGGCAGCAGUGGGGAAUCUUGCGCAAUGGGCGAAAGCCUGACGCAGCGACGCCGCGUGAGUGAUGAAGGCCUUCGGGUUGUAAAGCUCUGUGGGGAGGGACGAAUAAGGUUUGGCUAACAUCCAAGCCGAUGACGGUACCUCCUUAGCAAGCACCGGCUAACUCUGUGCCAGCAGCCGCGGUAA